GUAGUCUCGCACAGAUGCAUAUCAAUAAGCGGAGGAAAAGAAACUAACAAGGAUUCCCCUAGUAACGGCGAGUGAAGCGGGAAGAGCUCAAAUUUGAAAUCUUAAAGGGUUUCCCUUUACGAAUUGUAGUUUAAAGAAGUGUUUUCUGUUGAGGUUUUGGUAAAAGUUCUUUGGAAUAGGACAUCAUAGAGGGUGAGAAUCCCGUAUUUGACCUUUACUUUCAACUUUGUGAUACACUUUCGAAGAGUCGGAUUGUUUGGGAAUGCAAUCCAAAAUGGGUGGUAAAUUUCAUCUAAAGCUAAAUAUUGGCGAGAGACCGAUAGCGAACAAGUACCGUGAGGGAAAGAUGAAAAGAACCUUGAAAAGAGAGUUAAACAGUACGUGAAAUUGUCAAAAGGGAAGCGUUUGACACCAGUGUUGUUUUUCUGAAAAUCAAUUAAAGAACUGUUUAUGCUAAGUUGUUUAGACUCUAUCAGCUAACUGUUUAGUUUUGAGCUUUUCUUUAAUGCACUUUUCAGUUAACAAGUCAACAUCAAUUUCUUUUGCUGUAAAAAAGCUUGAGGAAGGUGGCUUGAGAUUCGUCUUAAGUGUUUAUAGCCUCUUGCCUAUGCAGUCGGAGAGAUUGAGGUCUGCAGCGUAGAUCCUUCGGGGCUAAAUGCAUUUGUGCUAAGUUAUAGCAUUUUAUAGACAACUUGUUGACUAUGAUUUGUCUUGUAGCUUACUCGCUCAUGUUAUUUUACCUACGCUUAGGAUGUUGAUCUGUAGUGCGUGCGC
rnacentral:rRNA from 1 species